GAUGAACGCUAGCUACAGGCUUAACACAUGCAAGUCGAGGGGUAACGAGAGGAAAGCUUGCUUUCCUUGUCGACGACCGGCGCACGGGUGAGUAACGCGUAUCCAACCUGCUCCCAACUAGGGAAUAACCUUGCGAAAGUAAGACUAAUACCCUAUAAUUUCCUCAGAUGUCAUCUGACGAGGAAUAAAGAUUUAUCGGUUGUGGAUGGGGAUGCGUCUGAUUAGCUUGUUGGCGGGGUAACGGCCCACCAAGGCAACGAUCAGUAGGGGUUCUGAGAGGAAGGUCCCCCACAUUGGAACUGAGACACGGUCCAAACUCCUACGGGAGGCAGCAGUGAGGAAUAUUGGUCAAUGGGCGGAAGCCUGAACCAGCCAAGUAGCGUGCAGGAUGACGGCCCUAUGGGUUGUAAGCUGCUUUUAUACAGGAAUAAAGUUAGCCACGUGUGGUUAUUUGUAGGUACUGUAUGAAUAAGGACCGGCUAAUUCCGUGCCAGCCGCCGCGGUAA
rnacentral:rRNA from 1 species